GGAAGUAAAAGCCGUAACAAGGUUUCCGUAGGUGAACCUGCGGAAGGAUCAUUAUCGUACAAAAUGUGAGGGGCAUGCGAGGGCUGUCGCUGACCCAAAAGUCGUGCACGCCCGAGUGUGUCCUCUUGCAUAAUAAUCCAUCUCACCCUUUGUGCAUCACCGCGUGGGCACCCUUCGGGAUCAUCUCGGAGGGGGGCUCGCGUUUUCACACAAACCCCCCUUUUAAAAGUGUAGAAUGGCCACAUUUAUGCAAUCAAUACAACUUUCAACAACGGAUCUCUUGGCUCUC
rnacentral:misc_RNA from 1 species